rnacentral:rRNA from 1 species
GUCUGGGAAACUGCCCGAUGGAGGGGGAUAACUACUGGAAACGGUAGCUAAUACCGCAUAACGUCGCAAGACCAAAGAGGGGGACCUUCGGGCCUCUUGCCAUCGGAUGUGCCCAGAUGGGAUUAGCUAGUAGGUGGGGUAACGGCUCACCUAGGCGACGAUCCCUAGCUGGUCUGAGAGGAUGACCAGCCACACUGGAACUGAGACACGGUCCAGACUCCUACGGGAGGCAGCAGUGGGGAAUAUUGCACAAUGGGCGCAAGCCUGAUGCAGCCAUGCCGCGUGUAUGAAGAAGGCCUUCGGGUUGUAAAGU